rnacentral:rRNA from 1 species
UACGAGGGGUGCAAACGUUGCUCGGAAUCAUUGGGCGUAAAGCGCACGUAGGCGGCCCCAAAAGUUGGAUGUGAAAUCCCUCGGCUCAACCGAGGACGUGCAUCCAAAACUGUGGGGCUUGAGUACUGAAGAGGAUCGCGGAAUUCCCGGUGUAGCGGUGAAAUGCGCAGAUAUCGGGAGGAACACCGGUGGCGAAGGCGGUUCUCUGGGCCUUACCUGACGCUGAGGAGCGAAAGCGUGGGGAGCGAACAGG